CUUCUUAAAGCUCUAGCCAGUGGGAAAGCGUUUGUGUUUCUAUCCUUGGAGCUCCAAGUGGGACUUCUUAAAAGAUUUAGAAGGAGCAAAGCUGUCAGGAAAUCAGAAACGUCACAUGGACUCCAUGACUGGGAAAAACCUCGUGGUGGCCUGCUCUCAGUGCUUGGAUGUGUGCUAGUUACAUCUCGGAGGUCUGAUUUUCUUAACUCUACUACGGUAAGAAGAUGCCCUCCAUCAGCAGGCCGUGUCUGCUGGGACCUCUCUGGAGACUUCCUGAACCCUGUGGAUUUACAGUAAGAUGCAGUUUCCUGGGGAGUAAUUCUGGUGGAUACAAAUUCCGGAGUAUUACACCUGGCUUGCCUGGAGAUGUUACAAGUAGCUGGAUGGAUUCUUCAGCCUGGAUGCCCACUGAAAACAAGGACCGAAACUAAGAGGAUUGUAUCUCUACCCUUGACUCAAUGAGAAUGUUUGUUGUCAUCUCUCGGGCUACCUGGAGCUCCCUCUAAAAUUAUACCCUUUAAGCGUUCCAGAAGGAUUUUGAGAUCCUUUCCUAAAUCAAAGGUGGAAUAUUUGGGGAUUUGGAAAAUUGAGAUGUGAAGCGUUGACUUAAGAGAUGCCAAGUAACUCAGCAGAUGUCACACAGACGAUAAAUAGCAAAGAUGGAAGUCUUCAUGCCGGAGGCAAUCCUAUAAGACAGCUGAGUUCUGCAGAGCUGGUAGGAGACAGACUUGCUCAGGUGAUAGAUCCAGCCAUGAUACUGACCCUAAGAGAAUGAGACGCUCUGCAGAAGACAGAAGAUUCCUGAAACUGGGAAAGGUGCCUAGAAAUCCUGAUAAGAGUGAAGAAGGAGCUGGCAGAGCAGCCUUCCUCCGCACUAUGAAAGACAUCCAACAGAGAGCAAGUUCCCACCUCACUUCCAGCUUGACUCCUUUUUAUCUCCUAACUGUGGUCUGUGAUGUCUUCAGCAAUGGUAUUAACUAGUUCUGGGUACCUGGAGGCACAGCAGCCAUGUUGAACCUAUGAGGUGAUGAAAAACCAUGCAACUAGAAACC
ensembl:lincRNA